UCUGACUGCACUAACUAUGCCUAGGAAGGAAAGGAGUUGUUGUUUUGUAAGAGAUUGAGGUUUGGGAGAUUAAUAGGACACGAUCAGCAGGGAAAGCACGUAUGUUUUUAUGAGAAUUAUGCCGAGAUAGGUAACAGAUGAGGAUGAAAUUUGGGCUUGACUGAAGUAAUGGGGGCUGUCUAUGAAGCCUUGUGGCAGUACAGCCUAGGUAAUUUGCUGAGCCUAAUAGGUGUCAGGGUCAGUCCAAGUGAAAGAAAAGAGAGGCUGGGACGAGGGGUGCAGGGGAAUAGUGAAAAAAGCAUCUUUAAGAUCAAGCACGGAAUAGUGAGUGGUGGAGGAAGGUAUUGAGGAUAGGAGAGUAUAUGGGUUGGGCACCACAGGGGGGAUAGGCAAAACAAUUUGGUUGAUAAGGCACAGAUCCUGAACUAACUUGUAAGGCUUGUCUGGUUUUAGGACAGGUAAAAUGGGGGAAUUGUAAGGAGAGUUUAUAGGCUUUAAAAGGCCAUGCUGUAGCAGGCGAGUGAUAACAGGUUUAAUCUUUUUAAAGCGUGCUGUGGGAUGGGAUAUUGGCAUUGAGUGGGGUAAGGGUGAUUAGGUUUUAAUGAGAUGGUAAGGGGUGCAUGAUUGGUAGCCAAGGAGGGAGUAGAGGUAUCUUAUACUUGUGGGUUAAGGUGGGGGGAUACAAGAGGAGGACGCAAAGGAGGCUUUGAAUUGGGAAGAAGGGUGGCAAUGAGAUACAGCUGUAGUCCAGGAAUAGUCAGGGAAGCAGAUAAUUUAGUUAAAGUGUCUCAGCCUAAUAAGGGAACUGGGCAGGUGGGGAUAAUGAAAAAGGAGUGCUUAAAAGAGUAUUGUCUAAGUUGGCACCAGAGUUGGGGAGUUUUAGGAGGUUUAGAAGCCUGGCCGUCAAUACCCACAACAGUUAUGGAGGCAAGGGAAACAGGUCCUUGAAAAGAAGAUAAUGUGGAGUGGGUAGCCUCCGUAUUGAUUAAGAAGGGGACGGGCUUACCUUCCACCGUGAGAGUUACCUGAAGCUCGGCGUCCGUGAUGGUCUAGGGGGCUUCCAAGGUGAUUGGGCAGUGUCAUCUUCAGCCGCUAAGCCGAGAAGAUCUGGGAAGGAGUCAGUCAGCCUUGGGCCAGAGUUCCAGGGGUUCUGGGAGUGGCUGUCAGAGUGACCAUCAGCCUAGAGGCAGCAAAACUGUGCUGUUGGACAGAGGAGCAGUUGCCCGAGGUGACCCAGGUGAGCCAUGGAGGUUCGUGAGUCACUCAGCAGAGCUAGCAGAAAACUGUGAAAAUGGGUCUGAGCUAGGCAUGACAAUUCCCUCAAGGACGCACUGUUCAGAACUGCACGCAUCAGAAGGAAAACCAAAGACACAACAUGUUACGUGAAUUCCCCGAAAUGAGAAAGGCUGAGUAACUUCCUUGAGAAACUGCCACCUGGAAUUAGGAGUUAACCUAGUCUCCAUGGACACCCAAUUUCUUAAGGAAUUUGAGUUGAGCCACUCCUGGAUAGACAAAGGCGCCUCCCAGGCACUGAGGCUUGGUUUCCUCUUCCGGAAUCACUGAUUUGCCAUUGGAAUGUUAUGAGCUCAUGGAAGCAGGUGGCAGGGGAGGAGCGGAGGCCACUGGACAGCACAGCGGAGGUUGCAGUGAGCUGAGAUCACGCCAUUGCACUCCAGCCUAGGCAACAAGAGCGAAACUCCAUCUCAAGGAAACAAACAAACAAACUCCAAAACCAACCAACCAACCAAACAAAAAACCAAAGGAGUCAAAAAGUGGAGCCCAGUUCCUAGAGAAUUUGGAUCAUAAAGCUUUAGCUAAUAUGAGGAAACCCUGAUGCUCUUAUUUACCUCUGUGCAUCUCAGCAGUCCUUGUCAUGCUACUCCUGUUAAUUUCUCUUCAGAUGUAAAAACAGAUUUUCCAAGAUUUCCCCCACUUCUCUGCUUUCUUCUAAAAAACAUGUAUGUUUGGUGGUCUCCAGUUCUCUUUUGGAACUGUACUUCAGUUAAUCUUGUUCAUGGCAGAUCUGAGAGCUCCUGCCUGUUGCCAAUGACUGUGACUCGCUUGGCAGAAAGGAAAGCUGAUCUCAGAGCGCUUCAGCUGCACCACAGAUAAUGUGCUCAAGUUAAAAGCAAUGGAAAGGUCAUAACAUGUCAUAUCUGGAGCUGGAAUGUUUCACAAUUUAUUGAGGAUUACUUAUUUUAUUUUAUUUUUUUCUCCAUAAGCACAAAUAUUGCCAAGAAGAGUAUGAGCUACAAUUUUAUGUCAUGGAUAAAUUAUUUCUUCCACAUCGCAAUUAAUUUUUAUUUAAUUCAUUUUCAUUCAUUAAUUUAUUCAUUACACAAGUAUUUCUUGAGUUCCUACUAUGUGCCAAGCUCAACUGAGUUGGUUGAUGGAAAAUAUGCCAUCUUGUGCUUUUGGCCAUGGACUCUGUAAUUUAGUACUUUCUAGUUCUCUUCGCCCAUUUCAGUAGAUAGUCUCAUUUAAUUUUGUAUUUAUCACAAAGUGUAUUGUUAAAAUCUGAAUUCACUUAUAUGUUUCUAAAGCAAUAGUGAUAAUAGUUACUAUAAUCAUAAGAUGUCAAGCUGAUUUAAUAUAUUUAAAGAUCAACUUGCUAACCAAUUUCAAUGCCAACAUACUUUAAAUCACUGAUAUAAAAUGGUUGUAGGAGACAAGAAAAAUUUAAAAAGAGGGAUAGGAAACUUAGGUACACUGUGCCCAUCAGUGACCUUGGGAACCUGUUAUAAAAUCUUUUACAUUUUGAAAGGGUGAAAUGAGUGGUUGGAGAGAGACAUUUAAAAAAAAACAUAUGCAGGUAUAACAACACAUUUAGCAAACUAAUUGGGGCCUGUUUGCAGUAAUGAACCAACCUGUUGUCCAUCACGAAUGCACCAGUCAAUGUUGACAAUGGUGACAUUGUGUGUUCCCAGGACUCAGAAGGUUGUGAUGUGAAAAUGAUCCUCCAGUCAGCUCUGUUAGCCUUGAUUCCAAAUUGAACUCUUAGAGAAAUAUUUGGUUAGACCUGAGCUUUCAAAAUAAAGCAAAUGCACUUAAAAAAAUCAAAAUAACUUACAGACAAUGGUUUUACAGAACCAUGUGGAUUAAGUGGAUUUAACUGUAAUUUUAGACAAAAUAAGGUUAGUUUCAGGAGACUUCACAUCAGGAGUUUUAAAAAGUUAAACAAAGCACACCAAUGCAAUGGAAUUCCAUGCUGGCUGCCUGGUGGUAAAACGAAUAAGCAGCUUCCUAGAUCAGCACAGUAAUCAGUGGCCAUUAGGCUAAAAGGAAUCAAAAGAUACAGAGUUCACCUAGAGUUUUUAUCAGCGUUUAGUGGUUUUUGACUGAAAUUACCUUAUAUUAGUAAAAAAAAAAAAAAAAAAAAAAAAGAAAAAAGAAAGAAAAGAAAAAUCCAGAUUUGCAUUAGGUCUUCUAGUGGAAAAUCAAAGCAAGUGUUGAACAAUACAGGUCAGGAAGAAAUAAAACAAAAAAUCUACAAAACAAAAACAGGAUCACUUUGCCGAAAUAAUUCAGAUUAACCACAAAUACCAGCGUCGCUGGGCAAUUACUCCAUUCCAGGCAGUGGCGGUUGGAUCUUUAUGCAUGGCCAGAUUUCUACUGAGUUUAAUAUUUCUCUAACAGCCACGUAAAAUAGACAUUCUUCAGCUAGGAGUUUGAAGGCUCCUUAGUGUAGCCUCGCAAUUGCCCACCCAAUCCUUUCUACCUCUGGGAUGCACAUGACCAGCAGGCCCCGAAAGAUCCACCAUUUCAGCAGCAGUGGGGAGGCAGAGAUAAAAAUGGCUUAGCCUUCUUCUCAGAGGUUAACAGUGUGGCUGAGGACACAUCAGAGCAGUGUUGUGCGAAACAUGAUGAGGCUCAGAGGCAGAAGGGACUUGCCUUGUCUCAGAUGAGACUUUGGACUGUGGACUUUCGAGUUAAUGCUGGAAUUAGUUAAGACUUUGGGAGACUGUUGGGAAGGCGUGAUUGGUUUUGAAAUGUGAAAACAUGAGAUUUGGGAUGGGCCAGGGGAAGAAUGAUAUGGUUUGACUCUCUCCCUACCCAAAUCUCAUCUUGAAUUGCAGCUCCCAUAAUUCCUAUGUGUCAUAGGAGGGACCCAGUGGGAGGGAAUUGAAUCAUGGGACCAGGUCUUUCCCAUGCUGUUCUCAUAAUAGUAGAUAAGUCUCAUGAGAUAUGAUGGUUUUAUAAAGGGGAGUUCCCCUGCACGCGUGCUCUUGCCUGCCACCAUGUAAGACAUGACAUUGCUCCUCCUUGCCUUUCACCAUGAUUGUGAGGCCUCCCCAGCCAUGUGGAACUGUGAGUCCAUUAAACCUCUUUCCUUUAUAAAUUACCCCGUCUUGGAUAUGUCUUUAUUAGUAGCGUGAGAAGACUAAUACACAUGGGGU
rnacentral:lncRNA from 10 species